rnacentral:rRNA from 1 species
AAUUAACGCUGGCAGAGUGCAUAACACAUGCAAGUCGAGCGGAACUAUCUGCGAUUACAUCAAGGGUAGUUUAGCGGCAGACGAGUGAGUAACACGUAAGCAACCUACCCCUGAAUGGUGAACAACCAUCCGAAAGGAUGGCUAAUACGCCGUGACGUCCCCUCGGGGGCGAUCUCCGGGGGAGUUAGAGACCCGCAAGGGUCGGUUCGGGGAGGGGCCCGCGGCCUAUCAGCUUGUUGGGGGGUGAUGGCCUACCAAGGCGACGACGGGUAGCCGGCCUGAGAGGGCGACCGGUCACACUGGGACUGAGACACGGCCCAGACUCCUACGGGAGGCAGCAGUGGGGAAUCUUGCGCAAUGGGCGAAAGCCUGACGCAGCGACGCCGCGUGAGGGAUGACGGCU